AUUUUCCUAAGGCUCAAAGA
rnacentral:piRNA from 1 species